rnacentral:lncRNA from 1 species
CUGAAAGUUAGGAUUAUUCUGCAGGUCUUAACCAAAUAAAGUCUCAUAUCUUUAAUUUAUAUCAGGUAUGUUUUACCUGGCGAAUAAGAAGUUAUGGCCAAUAUGAUUGGAUUGCUUAGGCUCAUUGUAGGAGGAAAAGAAAACAAACUACAGGAUGAUUUUCAUUGAGGUUAUCUCAAACUGCCAUCGUACAUCCUCUGGGUGUCUUGAGGAGCUGGUCUUUGGAUAAUGCUGAGCAGGUCUUUCUUUCUGGUAAAGAUUGUUAUUACAGGUCAGAGUAUGGUUAAUUUUGGCACAAUGCUCAAAGAGCCUUUUUGUUACUGGUAUAUAUGUUAACUCAACAGUGAUUGUUCUCUAUUUCAGUGAAGUAAAAGAAUUUAACAGACAGAUUUACAAACAACUGACGAAAGAAGGGAGACCAUUCAAUAGUCCCUUUAUUUAUCAGGGGUUGCCACAGCAGAAGGAACUGCCAACUUAUCCAGCAUAUGUUUUACACAGCGGAUGCCCUUCCAGCUGCAACCCAGUACUGGGAAACACCCAUUUACACUCAUACACUUGAACAUGGGGAGAACAUGCAAACUCCACACAGAAAUGACCACUGGCCCAGCCGGGGCUUGAACCAGCAACCUUCUUGCUGUGAAGCGACGGUGCUAACCACUGUGCUGCCCUAUGUGCUCUAUGCGGAGGCCUCUAGAGAUCGUAACCUGUGA